GGCUGCCGUCGCCCAAGGAGGAGGAGUCGCGAAAGAUGAGGCGGGGCUUCGAGAUCUGGUGGCGCCGAGCUCGGAUCCGGCGGCAGAGACGCGACGUGGAGCCACACCUCAAGGCGGCGGCGGCGACGAGGAGCAGCGGCCAAGGUGAUGCUCCUGGGUCACAGUGACUCCUAUCUCAAGGACAAGGCAAUGCAGCAGCUCAAGGCGUCGACGACGACGACGAGCAGCAGCUCAAGAUUGAUUUCAUUUUAGAAGCUGAUUGAUUUGCGGCCAAUCGAAGGCAGAGGCAGAGCUCUGCCACAGAUGGGAGAUUGCGGCACCCCCAACGAAGGCAGAGGCAGAUGGGCGAUGGAGAUGCCGGGCGGCGUAGCUCGUCUGCGUGCGAUGGCAGGCAAGAGGCGAUGGCGGCAUGCGAUGGCA